UCCUCCUUUUCUCAUCUGGGCGAAGCUUCAUUUGUCCACCUCUUGUUCUCGCGAUUCAUCUUUUUUUGUUUGCUCCUAUUAAUAGCUCAAUUUCGUUUGCUUCUCAUAACCAUACUUUGAAUUUCGUCUUCAUAUUUCAGUGUAUCACAUAGUUGUGAAAGAGGAACAGAGAUAAUCGUUAAGAAUUUGCCAGAAUAUGUGAAAGAGGAUCGACUUCGAGAUGUCUUUUCACAAAAAGGAGAAAUCACAGACGUGCAAUUGAUGCGUUUAAGGUUGCGAAGCCUCCUCCGAGGAAAGAAGGGAAGGUUAAUGAUAAUGCUAAAGGAGACAAUUUUCUAACAUUUUUCUCGACACUGGUCGCCUUUUCAUCCGUAACCUGCCUUACACUACAAUAGAAGAAGAGCUUACUGGACAUUUCAGCAAAUUCGGUGAAAUAUCAGAGGUCCAUCUUGUUCUUGACAGGGAGACAAAAAGGUCCAAAGGAAGGGCGUACAUCCUUUACCUGAUCCCGGAAUCUGUAGUAAGGGCAAUGGAGGAAUUAGAUGACACAGCUUUCGAGGGGCGACGGUUGCAUAUUUUACCAGCUAAGCCCCAUGAAAAGUCUGAUAAACAAGUGUCAGUGACCUCUACUCAAUGUUUCGGUCUUCAAACUUGUAAUCUACUAGGUUUUAC